rnacentral:rRNA from 1 species
GUACACGCUGUGACUAGCAUAUCAAUAAGCGGAGGAAAAGAAACUAACAAGGAUUCCCUCAGUAACGGCGAGUGAAGCGGGAAGAGCUCAAAUUUGAAAUCUUGAAAGGUCACCUUUCACGAAUUGUAGUUUAAAGAAGUGUUUUCUGUUACGAUCGUAAUAUAAGUUCUUUGGAAUAGGACAUCACAGAGGGUGAGAAUCCCGUCUAUGAUUGCGAUUUGUAGCUUUGAGAUACACUUUCAAAGAGUCGGGUUGUUUGGGAAUGCAGCCCAAAACGGGAGGUAAAUUUCUUCUAAGGCUAAAUAUUGGCGAGAGACCGAUAGCGAACAAGUACCGUGAGGGAAAGAUGAAAAGAACUUUGAAAAGAGAGUUAAAUAGUACGUGAGAUUGUCAAAAGGGAAGCGUUUAACACCAGUGUUGUUUUCUGAAAAUCAACCUCUGUUAGCUUUAUGCAUGUUUGUUUAGACCUAAUCAGCUAUCUUGCAUGUUCUAUUGUUUGCAGUGGUGCACUUUUCAGUUUACAGGUCAACAUCAGUUUUUUUUACCGUAAAAAAGUUAAAGAAAGGUAGCUCAUGGCUCCGGUCGUGAGUGUUAUAGUCUUUUUCCUAUGCAGUAGGAGAGACUGAGGUCUGCAGUGUAGGCUAUUUGGCUAGAUACUCAGGUGCUAUGUGAUACCAUUUCAUAAACAACUUGUUGAUUAUGUUUUGUCUAUUGCAUACUCGCUUGUACUAUCAUACCUACGCUUAGGAUGUUGAGUAGCGACAUACGCAC